AUUGACCCCAGAUUGUAGAUGCUAAGGGGCCGUUUGGUUGGAUGUAGUUGCAAAAACAGUGUAGUUGAAAAUUCAUGCAGUUGCAAAUGCUGCAGUUAUAACUACACCUAGUCUGUUUGGUUUUACGCAGUUGCAACUGCUGCAGUUACAUUUCUUCUGUUUGGUAAUAUGAAGCUGAUAGUUGUAUUUAUGAAUUUUGUCACCUCUUCAGAUAGAGUGGUGAGGUUACCUUCACUAAACAUAAAAUAAUUGUAUAAAUUUAUUAAUUAUUUAAAUUUACUAUUUAUAAAUAAAUAAGUAGAUAUAUAUAAUAUUUUUAUAUUUUUCAAUAAUUCUUCAACUUAUUAAUCGACACAUUUAAAAUUUUUAAUUUAUUUAAUUUUAAUAUGUAAAUCAAACUUUAAAAAUUUAAACGAUUCUCUCAUUUUUUUUUAUCAAAUUUAAUAAUUAUAAUUAAUUAAAACUUAUUAAAUUAACAUACACGAUCACAUUCUAUAAAAAUUUAGAAAAAAAAAACUAUAUUUAUAUUUUAAAUAAAAUAAAUUUAAAAAAAUUAAUUUUUUGCACAAAGCUUGUAUUGUCUAAAAAAUUUUAUUAGUAUGAGUUUAUUUAUAAGUAUUUUUAUUUACCUAUAUACAUAUAUUAUUUAUUUAUUUAGCUAUUUAUUUAUUUAUUUAUUAUUAUUAAUUUGUGGGUGAUCCUAUCCCUCUCACCAACUGCUGCAGUUGGAACUAUGACCAAUUUGGAUGUAGUUCCAACUGCAGCAUUUGGGCCUUCUUGUGCAGUUGAACUGCAGCAGUUGAACUCAACUACACUAAACCAAACAAAGAAAUUGUGGCUGCACGCAUUUGCAACUGCACUGCAGUUACAAAUGCGUACAACCAAACAGCCCCUAAUUCGCGUGUUCUUAAAUCGUCGCUGAAAAUUCUCAAUUGUUCA
rnacentral:lncRNA from 1 species